rnacentral:rRNA from 1 species
UACGAGGGGUGCAAGCGUUGCUCGGAAUUAUUGGGCGUAAAGGGCUCGUAGGCGGUUUGUCGCGUCGGGAGUGAAAACCCAGGGCUUAACUCUGGGCUUGCUUUCGAUACGGGCAGACUAGAGGUAUGCAGGGGAGAACGGAAUUCCUGGUGUAGCGGUGAAAUGCGCAGAUAUCAGGAGGAACACCAAUGGCGAAGGCAGCUCGCUGGGACGGUACUGACGCUGAGACGCGAAAGCGUGGGGAGCAAACAGG